CGCGAUGAUGAUGUGAUUAUAUCUCGUUAAUCCGAAAUUAACUGAGGAAAAUUAUCAAUCCAUUCUGUGUGUCUGAGC